rnacentral:RNase_P_RNA from 1 species
CGAGGUGGCACGGGCGGCCGCCGGUGGGCGUCGAUGGGCGUUCGCGGGAGGAAAGUCCGGGCUCCGCAGGGCAGGGUGCUGGGUAACUCCCAGUGGGGGCGACCCCAAGGAAAGUGCCACAGAAACCAGACCGCCCUUCAAAGCUCGCCGGUCUUCCGGCGGGCGACGCAGGGUAAGGGUGAAACCGUGGGGUAAGAGCCCACGGGCGUCCGUGGCGACACGGGCGUCGGUAAACCCCACCUGGAGCAAGACCGAACAGGGGACGGGCGGCCCGCCCGAUGUCCCCGGGUAUGGUUGCUGGAGGCCGGCCGCAAGGCCGGUCCUGGAGGAAUGGUCGCCGCCGCGCCCCGGGCAACCGCGGCGCGGAACAGAACCCGGCUUACGUGCCACCUCGAUCG